CAGCCGCCGCGGUAAUACGUAGGGUGCGAGCGUUAAUCGGAAUUACUGGGCGUAAAGCGUGCGCAGGCGGUUCGUUAAGACAGAUGUGAAAUCCCCGGGCUUAACCUGGGAACUGCAUUUGUGACUGGCGAGCUAGAGUAUGGCAGAGGGGGGUAGAAUUCCACGUGUAGCAGUGAAAUGCGUAGAGAUGUGGAGGAAUACCGAUGGCGAAGGCAGCCCCCUGGGCCAAUACUGACGCUCAUGCACGAAAGCGUGGGGAGCAAACAGGAUUAGAUACCCCCGUAGUCCCUGUCUCUUAUAC
rnacentral:rRNA from 1 species